GAUGAACGCUGGCGGCGUGCCUAAUACAUGCAAGUCGAGCGAACAGACGAGGAUCUUGCUCCUCUGGCGUUAGCAGCGCACAGGUACGUAACACGUGGAUAACCUACAUAUAAGACUGGGACAACUUCUGGAACCCGGAGCUAAUACCGGAUAAUAUAUUGAACCGCAUGGUGCACUAGUGAAAGACUGUCUUGCUGUCACUUAUAUAUGGUACCGAGCCGCAUUAGCUAGUUGGUAAGGUAACGGCUUCCCAAGGCAACGAGGCGUAGCCGACCUGGGAGAGGGAUCGGCCACACUGGAACGGGGACACGGUCCAGACUCCUACGGGAGGCAGCAGUAGGGAAUCUUCCGCAAUGGGCGAAAGCUUGACGGAGCAACGCCGCGUGAGUGAUGAAGGUCUUCGGAUCGUAAAACUCUGUUAUUAGGGAAGAACAAAUGUGUAAGUAACUAUGCACGUCUUGACGGUACCUAAUCAGAAAGCCACGGCUAACUACGUG
rnacentral:rRNA from 1 species